rnacentral:lncRNA from 1 species
GUGGAGUUGGUGGUGGGGAUCCAGGCCUGCACCGGCCACCACGCUGCCUGCAGCCACGGGGCGCGGGACGCGGCCGGUGCGACCGAGGCCCUCAAGCUCCUGUUUCUGUCGUGCUCUAGGGCAUCUGAGUCCAGGGAGCCCUGGCGGGCAGCGCUGAUGGGGAGGCCGCGUGCAGAGACCCAAAGGCCAAAACCCUUCCUCAUGAACACAAAGUGGCUUCGGGGGAGCUACCGAUCGUCAGAAAUUCAGUCUGCAUCUGAGAAACAGGGGCUGUCACUGGCCUGACCUGCGCCCAGGGUCCUGGACAGACCGAGGGAGCAGGGACUGUGGGGAGGCCAGGCAGCACCGCCUGAGCCUGGAAGGGGCUGUUCUCUGGGCUCUACAGUUUAGAAGGACUCAGGGGACCUGACACUUUACAGUUUACAAGGACUCAGGGCCCAUCUCUGCUGAGCCCCACCAAGAGCCUGGGAAGGCUGCGUGGUGCCUGCUUGCAGUGUGGUUGCCUAGGAAAGUCAGCUCCGAGCCACCACUGUCCCCGCGGCGCACAGGAGGGACACCAGGCUCCCGCUCAGCCAGAUGGCUGCGGCCCGGGCACCUGCUAAGUGCUGCCCGAGCAUCCUGAGCCACAAGCCUCGGGGGACCCUUGUGACCUCCCCUCUUUACAGCGGCUCCCCCGGCUCCACAGGGCCACACACGCCAGAGUCACCCCACUUUACACAGUGGGUACCCCCCCGGCUCCGCAGGGCCGCACACGCCAGAGUCACCCCACUUUACACAGCGGGUACCCCCCCGGCUCCGCAGGGCCGCACACGCCAGAGUCACCCCACUUUACACAGCGGGUACCCCCCCCAGCUCCACAGGGCCACACACGCCAGAGUCACACCACUUUACGCAGUGGGUCCCCCCAGCUCCACAGGGCCGCACACACCCAGAGUCACCCCACUUUACACAACAGGUCGCCCCGGCUCCGCAGGGCUACACACGUCCAGAGUUGCUUGGCUCUGGGGCAGUUUGAGCCUGGCCUCUGGCCCAGGCCAGCUUGCACUGUUGUCAUGCCUGCUGCACACGCUGUCCUGAAGGCUGGAGGUGGCAACUGGUCAGCUGACCUUCCUGCCAUGGAGCUGGGAUGUCAGGAGACUGCAGAGAGGGGGUGACUGGGUCCCCACGGAUUACAGAGCCUCUCAGGGUUCCACCCCUCUACUGCUCUGCGGCCCCAUCUGCUCAGGGAGAUGCCACAGGGAGCUGGGGGAGAGGCUGGGGUGUGCGGAGGGUCCGAGGGGCUGUGGCUCCCCAAGCCGUCACCCUGUAAUGCCAGGACCUGCAGGCCUGUGGACGCCCUGCUGGUUCACAGGGUGUGAUGGUCUGGGUUACGGGCCGGCUUGGCCAGGCUGUGGUCCCUGGGGGGUCAGAUGCCCACCUGGGUGUCGCCAUGGAGGUAUUUGGGGGACUGGGAGACGGGGUAGCCUCUACGAUCAGCUGACCCCGAGAAUGAGGGCCUCCACACGCGGUGGGCCUCGUCCAAUCAGGUGAGGGCCUCCAAACGGAGUUGGGAUUUUCCCCGAGGUGAAGAAAUUCUUCCUCAAACAGCAAGGUCAGCUCCUGCUGGAGGGUCCAGCCUGUACUAUGGGCUUGGGACUUGCAGAGCCACUUGUGGCCCCUGUGACCUCCCGGGGGCCGGAUUUGUGUUCUGGGCCGCUGUGAGCCACACCUUUUCCUGCCCACGGCCUGUCUAGGUCAGGUUUAUUCGAUGCAUCUGCCAUCUGAAGCUCAAGAUGCUUCUUGGUUUCUCGGCAGCGUGCACUCCCAGCUCCUUCUGUGGGUCAGCCCACGGCCGUCCUUCCUGGGGUGUCCUGUCCCCGCUGGCCAAGCUUCCCUCUGCCAGGUCCCUCCCUGGUCAACACAGGACUGGGCGGCCCCAGCCUCAUUCCGAUGUUCACAGCCACAAGGCAGGCCCCCCAUCACUGUUCCGCACCCGCGUUCCAGCCCCUCUCUGGUGCUUUGCUGUCUCUCCAAGGAAACCAGAGGCGGGACUGGCGCCCGAGCCUCCCUCACGUACUCCUGGUCAGUGGCCUGAGGG